GAUCGCGGUCACGCGGUGCCGUCGACGCGCGCCUUGGUGACGCCGGCGCAGGCGUCGACGAAGUCGCCGUCGAUGAAGUCGGUGGAGAAGACCUGGAGCUUGUCGCCGAGGCCCUUGGCGAAGACCUCGGCGAUGAACAUCCGCGCGUAGCCGUGGAUCCGCCUCGUCACGGGCCACACGCACACCACCGGGUUGUCGGGCCUGGGCGUCACCGUGUUCUCCACCCGGUACAAGAACCCGCGGCCCGCCACCGGCGGCUGCUGCCCCAGGAACUUGAGGUUGCUCUCGAACUUGGUCUCCGGCAGGUCCGUGUCGAUCCAGUUGUCCCUGAGGUACCCGGCGCUCCACAGGGGCUCCCCGGGCCCGGGCGCCGGCGACCUGCGCGGCUUCCACACGCAGAUGACCCGGCGCGGGAGCAGCUCCGCGACGGUCUUGUGGAACACCGCCUCGUCCUGCGGGAUCAGCAGGUGCUCGCCGAGCCUCUCCACCAGGAACCUGCCGAACUCGGGCGGGUCCUCGUGCCCGAACUCGGUGCGCACCUCCAGGACGACCACCUCGGACUCGGUCUCGCCCAGGAACCUGGUCACGUCGUCCAGCACCACGUCGACGGGGUACGUGGCCAGGACGCCGUGGCAUACGCGGCGCCCCUUCUGGACGCGCACGUCGAGGACGCGCGCGCCCAGCGCCAGCUGCUCGUACACGGACAGCGACUGGCACUGCGCGAAGGGGCGGGUCACGAACGGCACGCCGAUCCGGUCGGUGGCCGAGUCGUGCGUGCCGGGCCACACCACCUGGUGCACGCGCAGCCUGCCGGCGCCCAGCUCCGCCAUCCACCGCUUCCGGUCCGCCGGCCGGUGCUCAGACCCCGGGAACGUGUCGCCCGACGACGACAGCCGCGUCGCCAGCGCCCGCUUCUCGGCGGCCACCAGCUUCCGCCGGUCCACCUGCUUCGAGAAGAAGGCGCCCAUGGCUUCGUCCACCGGGUUGGUGGCUGCCGUUGUUGCCAGCGCUGCUGCUAUUGGGGGGCAGCCAUGGAUGGAUAAAUAAAGGGUCCUGUGCCUCGAGCUCUGACCUGGACCUGGACGUCGAGAUUGAUUGAUAGCUGCUAGCUAGCAACACAAACAAGGAAGAAAAAUAUCAAUGCGUGUGAUUAGCCAACAACAUGCAUGCUCGGGCGCUCGGCUGAUCGAGCCCUAGCGGUGAGGAGGAAGGAAGGGACGGACGGCGUGUUCUUGUCACCUCCGCUGCGGUUUCUCCCAAAAAGACUUCGGUUUCCUUGGAUUGGAAUUGGAUGCUACGAUUGGCGUUAUGGUGUUGAUGCCAGGCCAGGCGACAGUUUUUUUUCCCUUCCCAAAAUCACUACUACUAGAGAGAGGUUAACUGGUUCGUUCGGGGCAUGGGCGGGGUAGUUUUUAUUUAUUUAUUUAUGGCGAGACGGUGACGGAAUCGAGUCCACAAGCCAAAAGGACACGGUUUAUGCCAUUAUGGACGGACACGCGAUGCCAUUGGCGACCUGGAGAGGUGAAGGUUCUUCCAGUUCCAUGUUGGCGCAAUAAUUUGUCAAGCAAAUGCAGCAAACUUUUGUUGCCGCAGAGUAGCCACGACGACGUAAAUGCAUGCAAAUAUAUGAGCACUAUUUUUAUAUUACUAAGAAUAGUGUUAAACAUAUCAAUAAACCUAGAUGUUCUAUAAAAAGGAAGUUUAGAUUUAACAAUUAAACUUUAAAACUAUAUUAUGAGACGGGGGUAGUUUUUAUACUAAUGGUUGAAGUUUUUGAAAAAAGAACAACCAGUGCUAUUCUACGAAUUGCUUGGAAACCGACGUUAUUUUCUUAACGUCUUCUCAAACCAGUGUUGUUUUGUGAAUUCUCUCUGUGGGACUCAGGAAGCCUGAAUAUCAUAAGACGUUUGAUUUUUUAAAAAGAAAAUGUAUUGUUUCAAUCAUAUAUCUAGACAUAGCGUAUUUCGCAAAGGGCGAGAGUAUUAUUCAAUAUUGAGAUAUCGUCCAAGAAAGAAAUGUUGUGGAUUACGGCGUUAGGGGCCUGUGCAGCGUUCUCAGAGUUGAGAGCUCGCGCGUCACCUUCACCAUGGGUGCUCUGGGUGUUGGUAAUAAGGUCGCAUGUCCAUGGUGUCUGCACUGCACCUAGCACGAAAUGCCCUGUCGGUCAUCGGGUGUUGC
rnacentral:misc_RNA from 1 species